AACGUAGGUGGCGAGCGUUAUCCGGAUUUACUGGGCGCAAAGGGUGUGCAGGCGGGCUGUUAAGUGGUGUAUGAAAUAUCCCGGCUCAACCGGGAAGGGUUAUGCCAGACUGGCAGUCUAGAGAGCGAGAGAGGGACGUGGAAUUCCGGGUGUAGUGGUGAAAUGCGUAGAGAUCCGGAGGAACCCCAGAGGCGAAGGCGGCGUCCUGGACUGCAACUGACACUGAUGAACGAAAGCGUGGGGAGCAAACAGG
rnacentral:rRNA from 1 species